rnacentral:tRNA from 1 species
CAAGAAGUAGUUUAAUAAGAAUAUCAGCUUUGGGUGCUGACGGUGGGGGAAAAACCUUCCUUCUUGA